rnacentral:ribozyme from 1 species
AUCUUUAAGGUGAGAAUCCUUGACAAUCCUGUGGGGCUUAUAUCUUUAUCUCUGAGGAGUUCUUUAUCGCUAUAGUAGUAGAGAGAACUAUUUACGGUGGACGGUCUACUGAAUGCUUGAAUGCGUAAGAGAAUAAAGUAUUAGUGCAGACGUUAAAAUCAGGA